rnacentral:rRNA from 1 species
UCUAGAGGCUUCGGCAAUGGGGGAAACCCUGACCGAGCGACGCCGCGUGCGGGAUGAAGGUCGUAAGAUUGUAAACCGCUGUCAGCAGGGAAGAAUGCCCGGAUGGCGAAUCCGGGAGUGACGGUACCUGCGAAGGAAGCCCCGGCUAACUCCGUGCCAGCAGCCGCGGUAAUACGGAGGGGGCAAACGUUGUUCGGAAUUACUGGGCGUAAAGGGUGCGUAGGCGGUUCGAUCAGUCUGAUGUGAAAGCCUCCCGCUUAACGGGAGAACUGCAUUGGAAACUGUCGAGCUCGAGGAUGGGAGAGGCAGGUGGAAUUCCUGGUGUAGCGGUGGAAUGCGUAGAUAUCAGGAAGAACACUCGUGGCGAAGGCGGCCUGCUGGCCCAUUUCUGACGCUGAGGCACGAAAGCCAGGGGAGCAAACGGG